rnacentral:rRNA from 1 species
AUUGAACGCUGGCGGCAGGCCUAACACAUGCAAGUCGAGCGGAUGAGAAGAGCUUGCUCUUCGAUUCAGCGGCGGACGGGUGAGUAAUGCCUAGGAAUCUGCCUGGUAGUGGGGGACAACGUUUCGAAGGGAACGCUAAUACCGCAUACGUCCUACGGGAGAAAGCAGGGGACCUUCGGGCCUUGCGCUAUCAGAUGAGCCUAGGUCGGAUUAGCUAGUUGGUGAGGUAAUGGCUCACCAAGGCGACGAUCCGUAACUGGUCUGAGAGGAUGAUCAGUCACACUGGAACUGAGACACGGUCCAGACUCCUACGGGAGGCAGCAGUGGGGAAUAUUGGACAAUGGGCGAAAGCCUGAUCCAGCCAUGCCGCGUGUGUGAAGAAGGUCUUCGGAUUGUAAAGCACUUUAAGUUGGGAGGAAGGGCAGUAAGUUAAUACCUUGCCGUUUUGACGUUACCGACAGAAUAAGCACCGGCUAACUCUGUGCCAGCAGCCGCAGUAA